UACAGAGAGUGCAAACGUUGUUCGGAAUUACUGGGCUUAAAGCGCACGUAGGCGGUGUCGUAAGUGUCAGGUGAAAUCCCACGGCUCACCCGUGGAACUGCCUGGCAUACUGCGAUACUCGAGUGUGGUAGGGGAGAGCGGAACUCCUGGUGGAGCGGUGAAAUGCGUAGAUAUCAGGAGGAACACCGGUGGCGAAGGCAGGUCUCUGGGCUGACACUGACGCUCAUGCACGAAAGCGUGGGGAGCAAACAGG
rnacentral:rRNA from 1 species